AAGACUAUACUUUCAGGGAUCAUUUCUAUAGUUUCUGACUUAGAAAUGUGUUUCUAAAGUGAUUUGUCUCGCUACCCACGAUGAUGAGUUACGAUGUUCUCCUCUGAGCGCGAAUCGGAUAGUGACUGUUGGUGAUUGCCAUGUGGUCUCUAUCAUUGAUGAACGUUCCCUGUGGUCUUUGACCUAGGGAGGAUGAGAGCAUGAACAGAGUGGA